ACGCCAACAUUCACUCGCCGCCGAUUCGAAAAGAUCGCCGGAUUUGACGGGCCAUAUGCUACCCGUUUCUGAGCAAUAAACCCGGCCCGCUUAAAAAAAACCAUUUGAACUGAGAAGAUGACCACCACUCAUGCACUGAGAAGAACGUUGCUAAGAGCUCUGAAACCCCGACCAUCUUCAUCGUCGUGUUCUUCUGUUCAAACAAGCCGGAGUUGUUCGCUGUUUUCACUCAGCAAUAAUUCUCCAAACCCUCUGAUUUCCCCCAAUUAUUUUCCUUCCCCAAACCCUAACUUCUCACGUAGUAGCAUCUUUUGUCGCCGUCUUUCUUCUCUGAUUGGGGAGUCUCACGGACCUGCCGCAAUUGAUUACAGCUCUAGGCUGCAGGAAGAUGAGUUCAACAGGUUGGCUAAUUCCACCAUCCACGAUCUCCUUGAGAAGCUCGAGGAAUAUGGCGACUCUGUGGAGAUUGAUGGGUUCGACGUUGACUACGGGAAUGAGGUAUUAACCUUGAAGCUUGGUAGUUUGGGAACUUACGUGAUAAACAAGCAAACACCGAAUAGGCAGAUUUGGAUGUCAUCUCCAGUGAGUGGACCCUCUAGGUUCGAUUGGGACCAGAAUGCUGAAGCUUGGAUUUAUAGGCGAACUAAAGAAGCCCUGAAUAAGCUUUUGGAAACUGAGUUGUCUAAUCUGUGUGGGGGAUGCAUUAGCCUUUCUUAAGUUUCUUUCGAGUGACAUUUCGUUGACGUCAAACUUCUCCGUCAAAUCUCGUUUUGCUACUCUGGCUCCCCCAUCUGCCAGCACAGCCGCUCCUCCGCCUCUUCUGCCACCAGCAGCCGCUCCCGUAUACUUUGCAGCUCCUUUUUCAUUUUCUCCUCCCUUUCAAGGCUGUGCCUCAGUUCUUUCUCCAACUCUUCAUUUCUCUUCUGUAGCAUUUCAUGGCUUUCCGGUGGUGGUGCCGCCUUACCCGGUCGGGAAAUUGUUCGAUCGGUAUCCAUGUUUUGUAAUACGAUAAAUAUGUAGUAGAAAGGCAGAGAUUGGGUGCAAUAAUACCAUGAAUAACUAUAUAUAGUAGAAAACGUCGUAAGAAUUACGUGUUUUUAUACGAGUAUCUUGUUUGAAU